UACGUAGGGGGCGAGCGUUGUCCGGAGUUACUGGGCGUAAAGCGCUUGUAGGCGGUCCACCAAGUUUGGGGUGACAGUUGCCGACUUAAUCGGCAAAGUGCCUCAAAGACUGGCGGACUUGAGGGCCACAGAGGGACAUGGAAUUCCAGGUGUAGUGGUGAAAUGCGUAGAUAUCUGGAAGAACACCAAAGGCGAAGGCAGUGUCCUGGGUGGUCGCUGACGCUGAGAGGCGAAGGCGUGGGGAGCGAACGGG
rnacentral:rRNA from 1 species